CUUGUUCUAAUGGCGGUCUUCUCAUAACCGAAGCUACCGGUGUCUCUGAUACUGCAAGGAUCUUGAAGGCAUGUUAAAUAUGAAGAUUCAAGAUUUGGAGAUCGUAGAGGAACGUAGAAUCAAAAGAGCGGACAAACAUGGAAUUGUUAAAUAUGAAGAUUUGAAGAUUGUUAUUUCAUCCGAAAACGUUGUUGUUCAAGUCACUUGAUGUGUUCGAUGAUCCGACGUCAUUAACAGAGGAGGAGCUGUAUGAAUUGCGAAACAGUUGGGCAACUUGUUUUCUUGACCUAUAUAAUCCUUAGGUAGAUUAUGAUGUUGCCGAUGAGGCUUAGGAGCUAGCUAGGUUAAUUUGUGUGAUGUUACAAUGGAUUCAUAUUAAUUAUGAUGUUUUGAAUUGUAAUGACAUUUGAUAUUUUGCUUGAA